CCUACGGGGGGCAGCAGUGGGGAAUAUUGGACAAUGGGCGAAAGCCUGAUCCAGCCAUGCCGCGUGUGUGAAGAAGGCCUUCGGGUUGUAAAGCACUUUCAGUGGGGAAGAAAGCCUUGGGGCUAAUACCCUCGAGGAAGGACAUCACCCACAGAAGAAGCACCGGCUAACUCCGUGCCAGCAGCCGCGGUAAUACGGAGGGUGCGAGCGUUAAUCGGAAUUACUUGGCGUAAAGCGCGCGUAGGCGGUCUGAUAAGCCGGUUGUGAAAGCCCCGGGCUCAACCUGGGAACGGCAUCCGGAACUGUCAGGCUAGAGUGCAGGAGAGGAAGGUAGAAUUCCCGGUGUAGCGGUGAAAUGCGUAGAGAUCGGGAGGAAUACCAGUGGCGAAGGCGGCCUUCUGGACUGACACUGACGCUGAGGUGCGAAAGCGUGGGUAGCAAACAGGAUUAGAUACCCCAGUAGUC
rnacentral:rRNA from 1 species